rnacentral:rRNA from 1 species
GUGAGGAAUAUUGUGCAAUGGAGGCAACUCUGACGCAGCCAUGCCGCGUGCAGGAAGAAGGCGCUACGCGUUGUAAACUGCUUUUAACCGGGAAGAAACCCCAGGACGUGUCCUGGGUUGACGGUACCGGAGGAAUAAGCACCGGCUAACUUCGUGCCAGCAGCCGCGGUAAUACGAAGGGUGCAAGCGUUAUCCGGAUUCAUUGGGUUUAAAGGGUGCGUAGGCGGAGCGUUAAGUCAGUGGUGAAAUCCUGCAGCUUAACUGUAGACUUGCCAUUGAUACUGGCGCUCUUGAGUGCGCUUGAAGUGGGCGGAAUGUGCCGUGUAGCGGUGAAAUGCUUAGAUAUGGCACAGAACACCAAUUGCGAAGGCAGCUCACUAAGGCGAUACUGACGCUGAGGCACGAAAGCGUGGGGAUCGAACAGGAUUAGAUACCCUUGUAGUCC